UUGGCAGCAUCAAGUUACAAUGAUAUAUCAAAAUGAAAAGUUUAGUACGAUAUCCUACCUGCAUCUGAUUGAAGGAAAAGGUUGCAAAGUGGGAAACAGAAAUGCAACCGAAAAAGGACAAAAUAGAAAGUACUCACAAGUCAUCAGAAAAUCAAUUAAUCAAGGAAAUCUACAGUGUUCAAAUAUUCCAUUAUAGAAACCCUGUAAUCAUAUCAUACAUACCAGUAUUUUCAGGUUCACCAAUAUCAA
rnacentral:lncRNA from 1 species